rnacentral:rRNA from 1 species
GACGAACGCUGGCGGCGUGCUUAACACAUGCAAGUCGAACGGAAAGGCCCUGCUUUUGUGGGGUGCUCGAGUGGCGAACGGGUGAGUAACACGUGAGUAACCUGCCCUUGACUUUGGGAUAACUUCAGGAAACUGGGGCUAAUACCGGAUAGGAGCUCCUGCUGCAUGGUGGGGGUUGGACAGUUUCGGCGGUUGGGGAUGGACUCGCGGCUUAUCAGCUUGUUGGUGGGGUAGUGGCUUACCAAGGCUUUGACGGGUAGCCGGCCUGAGAGGGUGACCGGCCACAUUGGGACUGAGAGACGGCCCAGACUCCUACGGGAGGCAGCAGGGGGGAAUAUUGCACAGUGGGCGGGAGCCUGAUGCAGCAACGCCGCGUGCGGGAUGACGGCCUUCGGGUUGUAAACCGCUUUCGCCUGUGACGAAGCGUGAGUGACGGUAAUGGGUAAAGAAGCACCGGCUAACUACGUG